rnacentral:lncRNA from 1 species
UAGGAUUUGUCCAGGAUUUAUUUAAGAUUUUACUAGAAUUUAUUUAGGAUUUUUUUAGAAUUUGACUAGGUUUUAUUUAGGAUUUGGUUAAGAUUUGUUUAGAAUUUGAAUAGGAUUUAGUUAGGAUUUUUUUAGAGUUUGGUUAGGAUUUGGUUUGGAUUUGUUAGGAUUUGACUAGGAUUUGGCUAUGGUUUAUUUAGGAUUUGGUUAGGAUUUAAUUAAGAUUUGAUUAGAAUUUAAUGGAUUUUUAAUUAAGAUUUAAUUAAGAUUUUUAUUUUAAUAUUUUAUUAAGAUUUCUAUUUUAGUAUAUUUUUGAAUUCUAUAUUAUUUCUUU